rfam:Strongylocentrotus purpuratus Contig44327_fixed, whole genome shotgun sequence.
CCAACAGUCCUUUUCAGGACUACACUCACAUCCUCAAGAAAGAUU